rnacentral:rRNA from 1 species
AUUGAACGCUGGCGGCAGGCCUAACACAUGCAAGUCGAGCGGAGCGGAGGACGGGUGAGUAAUGCCUAGGAAUCGGCCUGGUAGUGGUGGAUGACGUCCGGAAACGGGCGCUAAUACCGCAUACUAUCAGAUUAGCCUAGGGCGGAUUCGCUAGAUGGUGGGGUAAAGGCAUACACAGGCGAAGAUCCGUAACUGGUCUGAGAGGAUGAUCAGUCACACUGGAACUGAGACACGGUCCAGACUCCUACGGGAGGCAGCAGUGGGGAAUAUUGGACAAUGGGCGAAAGCCUGAUCCAGCCAUGCCGAGUGUGUGAAGAAGGUCUUCGGAUUGUAAAGUACUUUAAGUUGGGAGGCGUUACCAACAGAAUAAGCACCGGCUAACUUCGUGCCAGCAGCCGCGGUAAUAC